AGACAGAGGUGGCAAGCGUUGUUCGGAUUUACUGGGCUUAAAGGGCGUGUAGGCGUCCUGGUAAGUCAGAUGUGGAAGCCUUGGGCUCAACCCAAGAAUUGCAUUUGAUACUGCCGGGAUUGAGUCGUGCAUGGGAGGGCGGAAUUCCUGGUGUAGCGGUGAAAUGCGUAGAUAUCAGGAGGAGGGCCGGUGGCGAAGGUGGCCCUCUGGGCAAUGACUGACGCUGAGGCGCGAAAGCGUGGGGAGCAAACAGGAUUAGAAACCCUAGUAGUCC
rnacentral:rRNA from 1 species